AUUGAACGCUGGCGGCAGGCUUAACACAUGCAAGUCGAGCGAGCGGCGGACGGGUGAGUAAUGUCUGGGAAACUGCCUUAUGGAGGGGGAUAACUACGGGAAACGGUAGCUAAUACCGCAUACCAUCAGAUGUGCCCAGGUGGGAUUAGGUAGUAGGUGGGGUAAUGGCUCACCAAGGCGACGAUCCCUAGCUGGUCUGAGAGGAUGACCAGCAACACUGGAAUUGUGACACGGUCCAGACGCCUACGGGAGGCAGCGGUGGGGAGUAUUGCACAAUGGGGGAAAGCCUGCUGCAGCCAUGCCGCGUGUGUGAAGAAGGCCUUCGGGUUGUAAAGCACGUUCAGCGAGGAGGCGUUACUCGCAGAAGAAGCACCGGCUAACUCCGUGCCAGCAGCCGCGGUAAUAC
rnacentral:rRNA from 1 species